CUUCUGCUUAUUAUUGCAUUUUGAUCUGACCAUUAUUGAGCGAGCAAGGACCUUAGCUGUCUCUGUACUUUUCUUCUUUAUCAUGGUCUGGGGAAACAGAACCACGUGAGGAGAAGAAGAAGAAGGAGAAGGAGGGGGGAAAGACAGCAACAUGGAGAAAGACGGACUGGAAAGUCUUCUGGUUCAGGGGCCACUGAGAAAGCUGUUCUGGACAUUAGACCCAUCCAACAAGACCUGAGAGAUCUACAGCUCAACAUGCUGGAUAUAAAAAGAACUGAAAAGCUGAUAUGGAAAAAUGAUUGUGUAGUAAAAGAGUGUGACAGAAUACUGAGUACCUUAAAUCAAAUGACAGCUGAAGCUGAAAUGUUAAAAGAACGUGCUAAAUACAGGAGGACUGAAUACAUUAGGAAAUUAAAUCAGAGACAUGGGAGAAUAGUGAGACUCUCUAAUCUUGCUAGACAAAUAGAUGAAAUGGAAAGACUGAUAGAACGCUUAAAUCUGAAGAAAGCCCAGUAAAAAAACAGACAUCCUGUUUCUAGUUCCUGUUUUUUACAGCCAGCGCUAAAAACACACACAGCUUUAAGAGUACUCAAAAACCACAAUCCCCCAACCUCUGUUUAUCUGUUUCUUGUGAAGGAAGAAAAACUAUCGGAUCCUGCGCGAUCAAAAAAGGGGAUAUUUUUAUGUCUCUUCUUAAAAGAAAACUAUUUUCAGACUCUGAAUAGUCGCUGGUUUUUCUUUAUUUUAUUUUCUUUAUAUUCUGAGUUAAGAUAAUUGGAAUCCUUAUUGUUCUUUAAUAAACCGAAGUCCAUUCAAAGGGACGAUUCGUAUAUCUUACUCCCGUGAGUAAAAUUCCUUUUCUACACACACCUUCAGCGAAAGGGAAAGGAUUUCAUUUGUUCUCUCGCCCAGCAGCACAAGACUCCGCCUCUGAGAAGCUGAUCUUUCCACCAUCCCCCCAUGACUCAAGCCUGGACCCGAACACUCACCAUCAACCAGCACAUCCCACUGCUGAUCCAUCUCUCCUGAAUGACAUCCCACAAGCUGAGUCCGGUGUUCCUGGUCUCCCUCAUUCACAAUAAAUUCUCAUUCUCCACA